UACGUAGGGGCCUAGCGUUGUCCGGAUUUAUUGGGCGUAAGGGCGCGUAGGCGGUCUGGCGCGUUGUGCGUGACAGGUGGUGGCUUAACUGCCACAGGGCGCAGAAAACGGCUAGACUUGAGACCUUCAGAGGGAUACGGAAUUCCAGGUGGAGCGGUGAAAUGCGUAGAGAUCUGGAAGAACACCAAAGGCGAAGGCAGCAUCCUGGGGAGGAACUGACGCUGAGGCGCGAAGACCAGGGGAGCGAACGGG
rnacentral:rRNA from 1 species